rnacentral:rRNA from 1 species
UACGUAGGGGGGCUAGCGUUGUCCGGAAUCAUUGGGCGUAAAGAGCGUGUAGGCGGCUCGGUAAGUCCGCUGUGAAAGUCGGGGGCUCAACCCUCGAAUGCCGGUGGAUACUGUCGAGCUAGAGUGCGGAAGAGGCGAGUGGAAUUCCUGGUGUAGCGGUGAAAUGCGCAGAUAUCAGGAGGAACACCGAUUGCGAAGGCAGCUCGCUGGGACGUUACUGACGCUGAGACGCGAAAGCGUGGGGAGCAAACAGG